rnacentral:rRNA from 1 species
CCUACGGGAGACAGCAGUGGGGAAUAUUGCACAAUGGGGGAAACCCUGAUGCAGCGACGCCGCGUGAGUGAAGAAGUAAUUCGUUAUGUAAAGCUCUAUCAGCAGGGAAGAAAAUGCUGGUACCUGAGUAAGCAUCCGCGGCUAACUACGUGCAAGCAGCCGCCGUAAUACGUAGGGGGCAAGCGUUAUCCGGAUUUACUGGGUGGAAAGGGAGCGUAGACGGCAGUGCAAGUCUGGAGUGAAAGGCGGGGGCUCAACCCACGGACUGCUCUGGAAACUGUACGGCUGGAGUGCAGGAGAGGUAAGUGGAAUUCCUAGUGUAGCGGUGGAAUGCGUAGAUAUUAGGAGGAACACCAGUGGCGAAGGCGGCUUACUGGACUGUAACUGACGUUGAGGCUCGAAAGCGUGGGGAGCAAACAGGAUUAGAUACCCCUGUAGUC